rnacentral:rRNA from 5 species
UUAAGCGACUAAGCGUACACGGUGGAUGCCCUGGCAGUCAGAGGCGAUGAAGGACGUGCUAAUCUGCGAUAAGCGUCGGUGAGGUGAUAUGAACCGUUAUAACCGGCGAUUUCCGAAUGGGGAAACCCAGUGUGUUUCGACACACUAUCAUUAACUGAAUCCAUAGGUUAAUGAGGCGAACCGGGGGAACUGAAACAUCUAAGUACCCCGAGGAAAAGAAAUCAACCGAGAUUCCCCCAGUAGCGGCGAGCGAACGGGGAGGAGCCCAGAGCCUGAAUCAGUGUGUGUGUUAGUGGAAGCGUCUGGAAAGGCGCGCGAUACAGGGUGACAGCCCCGUACACAAAAAUGCACAUAUUGUGAGCUCGAUGAGUAGGGCGGGACACGUGGUAUCCUGUCUGAAUAUGGGGGGACCAUCCUCCAAGGCUAAAUACUCCUGACUGACCGAUAGUGAACCAGUACCGUGAGGGAAAGGCGAAAAGAACCCCGGCGAGGGGAGUGAAAAAGAACCUGAAACCGUGUACGUACAAGCAGUGGGAGCCUCUUAAUGGGGUGACUGCGUACCUUUUGUAUAAUGGGUCAGCGACUUAUAUUCUGUAGCAAGGUUAACCGAAUAGGGGAGCCGAAGGGAAACCGAGUCUUAACUGGGCGUUAAGUUGCAGGGUAUAGACCCGAAACCCGGUGAUCUAGCCAUGGGCAGGUUGAAGGUUGGGUAACACUAACUGGAGGACCGAACCGACUAAUGUUGAAAAAUUAGCGGAUGACUUGUGGCUGGGGGUGAAAGGCCAAUCAAACCGGGAGAUAGCUGGUUCUCCCCGAAAGCUAUUUAGGUAGCGCCUCGUGAAUUCAUCUCCGGGGGUAGAGCACUGUUUCGGCAAGGGGGUCAUCCCGACUUACCAACCCGAUGCAAACUGCGAAUACCGGAGAAUGUUAUCACGGGAGACACACGGCGGGUGCUAACGUCCGUCGUGAAGAGGGAAACAACCCAGACCGCCAGCUAAGGUCCCAAAGUCAUGGUUAAGUGGGAAACGAUGUGGGAAGGCCCAGACAGCCAGGAUGUUGGCUUAGAAGCAGCCAUCAUUUAAAGAAAGCGUAAUAGCUCACUGGUCGAGUCGGCCUGCGCGGAAGAUGUAACGGGGCUAAACCAUGCACCGAAGCUGCGGCAGCGACGCUUAUGCGUUGUUGGGUAGGGGAGCGUUCUGUAAGCCUGUGAAGGUGGCCUGUGAGGGUUGCUGGAGGUAUCAGAAGUGCGAAUGCUGACAUAAGUAACGAUAAAGCGGGUGAAAAGCCCGCUCGCCGGAAGACCAAGGGUUCCUGUCCAACGUUAAUCGGGGCAGGGUGAGUCGACCCCUAAGGCGAGGCCGAAAGGCGUAGUCGAUGGGAAACAGGUUAAUAUUCCUGUACUUGGUGUUACUGCGAAGGGGGGACGGAGAAGGCUAUGUUGGCCGGGCGACGGUUGUCCCGGUUUAAGCGUGUAGGCUGGUUUUCCAGGCAAAUCCGGAAAACCAAGGCUGAGGCGUGAUGACGAGGCACUACGGUGCUGAAGCGACAAAUGCCCUGCUUCCAGGAAAAGCCUCUAAGCAUCAGGUAACAUCAAAUCGUACCCCAAACCGACACAGGUGGUCAGGUAGAGAAUACCAAGGCGCUUGAGAGAACUCGGGUGAAGGAACUAGGCAAAAUGGUGCCGUAACUUCGGGAGAAGGCACGCUGAUAUGUAGGUGAAGCGACUUGCUCGUGGAGCUGAAAUCAGUCGAAGAUACCAGCUGGCUGCAACUGUUUAUUAAAAACACAGCACUGUGCAAACACGAAAGUGGACGUAUACGGUGUGACGCCUGCCCGGUGCCGGAAGGUUAAUUGAUGGGGUUAGCGGUAACGCGAAGCUCUUGAUCGAAGCCCCGGUAAACGGCGGCCGUAACUAUAACGGUCCUAAGGUAGCGAAAUUCCUUGUCGGGUAAGUUCCGACCUGCACGAAUGGCGUAAUGAUGGCCAGGCUGUCUCCACCCGAGACUCAGUGAAAUUGAACUCGCUGUGAAGAUGCAGUGUACCCGCGGCAAGACGGAAAGACCCCGUGAACCUUUACUAUAGCUUGACACUGAACAUUGAGCCUUGAUGUGUAGGAUAGGUGGGAGGCUUUGAAGUGUGGACGCCAGUCUGCAUGGAGCCGACCUUGAAAUACCACCCUUUAAUGUUUGAUGUUCUAACGUUGGCCCGUAAUCCGGGUUGCGGACAGUGUCUGGUGGGUAGUUUGACUGGGGCGGUCUCCUCCUAAAGAGUAACGGAGGAGCACGAAGGUUGGCUAAUCCUGGUCGGACAUCAGGAGGUUAGUGCAAUGGCAUAAGCCAGCUUGACUGCGAGCGUGACGGCGCGAGCAGGUGCGAAAGCAGGUCAUAGUGAUCCGGUGGUUCUGAAUGGAAGGGCCAUCGCUCAACGGAUAAAAGGUACUCCGGGGAUAACAGGCUGAUACCGCCCAAGAGUUCAUAUCGACGGCGGUGUUUGGCACCUCGAUGUCGGCUCAUCACAUCCUGGGGCUGAAGUAGGUCCCAAGGGUAUGGCUGUUCGCCAUUUAAAGUGGUACGCGAGCUGGGUUUAGAACGUCGUGAGACAGUUCGGUCCCUAUCUGCCGUGGGCGCUGGAGAACUGAGGGGGGCUGCUCCUAGUACGAGAGGACCGGAGUGGACGCAUCACUGGUGUUCGGGUUGUCAUGCCAAUGGCACUGCCCGGUAGCUAAAUGCGGAAGAGAUAAGUGCUGAAAGCAUCUAAGCACGAAACUUGCCCCGAGAUGAGUUCUCCCUGAGACUUAGAGUCUCCUGAAGGAACGUUGAAGACGACGACGUUGAUAGGCCGGGUGUGUAAGCGCAGCGAUGCGUUGAGCUAACCGGUACUAAUGAACCGUGAGGCUUAACCUU